rnacentral:rRNA from 1 species
GAGCCCUACGGGACGCAGCAGUGGGGAAUAUUGGGCAAUGGGCGCAAGCCUGACCCAGCAACGCCGCGUGAAGGAAGAAGGCUUUCGGGUUGUAAACUUCUUUUCUCAGGGACGAAGCAAGUGACGGUACCUGAGGAAUAAGCCACGGCUAACUACGUGCCAGCAGCCGCGGUAAUACGUAGGUGGCAAGCGUUAUCCGGAUUUAUUGGGUGUAAAGGGUGCGUAGACGGGAAAUUAAGUUAGUUGUGAAAUCCCUCGGCUUAACUGAGGAACUGCAACUAAAACUGAUUUUCUUGAGUACUGGA